CGAAUGGUGUUGUGCACCAGAUCAAGUGUCCACUUAGAACCCCGACUACUAAAAAAGACAAGACGUGUGCCGCUGCCUGCGGGACCUGUCAGAUCAACAAGUACGGUUGCGUGGCGGGAUACGCCGUGCCUGACGUCACAGACUGUAACCAACCCAACGAGAAUUGCUGUGUACGCUACUGGACUGGACCAUGUCCUGGAAAAUAGAACGACAACAUCAGAAUCCUAAAAGGCGUUGAUAAUACUUCUUUCGCUAAUAAAAGAAUGCUAUUCAA